rnacentral:rRNA from 1 species
GUGGGGAAUUUUGCGCAAUGGGGGAAACCCUGACGCAGCAACGCCGCGUGAGUGAUGAAGGCCUUCGGGUCGUAAAGCUCUGUCAGAGGGGAAGAAGUGUGAGGUGGCUAAUAUCCAUUUCACUUGACGGUACCUUCAAAGGAAGCACCGGCUAACUCCGUGCCAGCAGCCGCGGUAAUACGGAGGGUGCGAGCGUUGUUCGGAAUUAUUGGGCGUAAAGCGCGUGUAGGCGGUUUUUUAAGUCUGAUGUGAAAGCCCUGGGCUCAAACCGGGAAGUGCAUUGGAAACUGGGAGACUUGAAUACGGGAGAGGGCAGUGGAAUUCCUGGUGUAGGAGUGAAAUCCGUAGAUAUCAGGAGGAACACCGGUGGCGAAGGCGGCUGCCUGGACCGAUAUUGACGCUGAGACGCGAAAGCGUGGGGAGCAAACAGGAUUAGAAACCCUGGUAGUCC